rnacentral:rRNA from 1 species
AACCUGGUUGAUCCUGCCAGUAGUCAUAUGCUUGUCUCAAAGACUAAGCCAUGCAUGUCUAAGUAUAAGUAUUAUACAGCGAAACUGCGAAUGGCUCAUUAAAACAGUCAUAAUUUAUUUGAUAAUCGAAUUUACAUGGAUAACCGUGGUAGUUCUAGAGCUAAUACAUGCUGGUAGGCCCGACUUUUUGGAAGGGCGGUAUUUAUUAGAUAACAAACCAAUAUUCCUCUGGUCUAUUGUGGUGAAUCAUAAUAACUGAUCGAAUCGCAAGGUUUUUAACCGCGAUAAGUCAUUCAAGUUUCUGCCCCAUCAGCUUUCGAUGGUAGUGUAUUGGACUACCAUGGCUUUUACGGGUAACGGAGGAUUAGGGUUCGAUUCCGGAGAGGGAGCCUGAGAAACGGCUACCACAUCUAAGGAAGGCAGCAGGCGCGUAAAUUACCCAAUCCUGACUC